GAAAACCCCAAAUAUUUGGAAACUAAACACGUUUCAAAACAUGGUAUGAUUUAGCCUUUAAAAUGAUCUCUCAUACUGCUAAGUGGAAAAUAAAUGAGAAAGACAAGGGCAAAUGCAGGGAAACCCUUUAAGAGGCAUUUACAGUUGAGUGUCAUGGACUAGAGUGGUAGUGGUGGUGGCAAUGAGAAGGAGUCAACUGUGAAAGGCAGCAUGGUGACCAGCAGAGUGAGGAAAGGAGAUGAAAUAGAGAAAUAAAGACCAGAUGCGUCUCAGUCCGUCACCUCAGACACAUGACUCGGGGCUGAAGAGUGGGGAAGGGCCCUGGGUCCCAGCCACAUGCUAUCACCAAUGUUGCUAAGCACUGCUUUUAAGACUCCCAGGGCACUGCAUGAAAAAACAGCAACUGGCCCCUUCCAUAAUCAGCAAUUUGCAAUAUACAGUGUCCUACAAGAUAGAAUGCCACAACAGAUGAUUAUCUGGUCAAAAACAGUCUUUGUACAGGAAUAGGUUAAAGCAAGAGUUCUUUGAUUAUUGUUUUGGCAGAAAAAGGCAAAGUGAAAAACAAUUCCAGAAAAAAAAGUUACGAAGCA
rnacentral:lncRNA from 10 species